rnacentral:rRNA from 1 species
UACGUAGGGGGCUAGCGUUGUCCGGAUUUAUUGGGCGUAAAGAGCGUGUAGGCGGCUUGGUAGGUCCGCUGUGAAAACUCGAGGCUCAACCUCGAGAUGUCGGCGGAAACCACUUGGCUAGAGUCCGGAAGAGGAGAGUGGAAUUCCUGGUGUAGCGGUGAAAUGCGCAGAUAUCGUGAGGAAGACCAGUGGCGAAGGCGGGUCUCUGGACAGUUCCUGACGCUGAGGCGCGAAGGCCAGGGGAGCAAACGGG